GACGAACGCUGGCGGCGUGCCUAACACAUGCAAGUCGAACGGAGAUUUCAGCAAUGGAAUCUUAGUGGCGAACGGGUGAGUAACGCGUAGACAACCUACCUUCUUGAUGGGGACAACACUGCGAAAGUGGUGCUAAUACCGAAUGUUGUAUUUUGAUUGCAUAAUCGAAAUACUAAAGAUGGCCUCUAUUUAUAAGCUAUCGCAAGAAGAUGGGUCUGCGUCUGAUUAGCUAGUUGGUGGGGUAAUGGCUCACCAAGGCGACGAUCAGUAGCCGGUCUGAGAGGAUGAACGGCCACACUGGGACUGAGACACGGCCCAGACUCCUACGGGAGGCAGCAGUGGGGAAUCUUCCGCAAUGGACGAAAGUCUGACGGAGCAACGCCGCGUGAGUGAAGAAGGUUUUCGGAUCGUAAAACUCUGUUUUCAGGGACGAAUGUGCAGUGUGUAAAUAAUGCAUUGUAAUGACGGUACCUGAGUAGAAAGCCACGGCUAACUACGUGCCAGCAGCCGCAGUAACAC
rnacentral:rRNA from 1 species